UACGGAGGGGGCUAGCGUUGUUCGGAAUUACUGGGCGUAAAGCGCACGUAGGCGGCUUUGCAAGUUAGAGGUGAAAGCCCGGGGCUCAACUCCGGAAUUGCCUUUAAAACUGCAUCGCUAGAAUUGUGGAGAGGUAAGUGGAAUUCCGAGUGUAGAGGUGAAAUUCGUAGAUAUUCGGAAGAACACCAGUGGCGGAAGGCGACUUACUGGACACAUAUUGACGCUGAGGUGCGAAAGCGUGGGGAGCAAACAGG
rnacentral:rRNA from 1 species